CCUACGGGUGGCAGCAGUGGGGAAUAUUGGGCAAUGGGCGCAAGCCUGACCCAGCAACGCCGCGUGAAGGAAGAAGGCUCUCGGGUUGUAAACUUCUUUUCUCAGGGACGAAGCAAGUGACGGUACCUGAGGAAUAAGCCACGGCUAACUACGUGCCAGCAGCAGGGGUAAUACGUAGGUGGCAAGCGUUAUCCGGAUUUACUGGGUUUAAAGGGCGUGUAGGCGGGACUGCACGUCAGAUGGGAAAACCAUGGGCUCAACCUAUGGCCUGCAUUUGAAACUGUAGUUCUUGAGUACUGGAGAGGCAGACGGAAUGCCUAGUGUAGCGGUGAAAUGCGUAGAUAUUAGGAGGAACACCAGUGGCGAAGGCGGUCUGCUGGACCGCAACUGACGCUGAGGCGCGAAAGCGUGGGGAGCAAACAGGAUUAGAUACCCUAGUAGUC
rnacentral:rRNA from 1 species